rnacentral:snoRNA from 1 species
CGCCCUUUGAAAGCACUCGCUGGGCCUCUCGCUGAUGACCCAGUGAGCCGUCAAGAAGGGCAGAGAACAGACACCGCUCUUGGGUGAAGUGGCAGCGUGUUGUGUUGUUUCACUUCAAUCGGUGGUGUGACAAGA